UACAGAGGUCCCGAGCGUUGUUCGGAUUCACUGGGCGUAAAGGGUGCGUAGGUGGUGAGGUAAGUCGGAUGUGAAAGCUCCAAGCUCAACUUGGAAAUGGCAUUGGAAACUACCUUGCUAGAGGGUUUGAGGGGGGACUGGAAUACUUGGUGUAGCAGUGAAAUGCGUAGAUAUCAGGAGGAACACCGGUGGCGAAGGCGGGUCUCUGGGCCGUAACUGACGCUGAGGAGCGAAAGCAUGGGGAGCGAACAGG
rnacentral:rRNA from 1 species